ensembl:lncRNA
AUGUGGGCCACAUGGCAGCUCUGUGCAGAGGUUCAUUAUUCCCUCUGUCCAAAAGGCGGAAGCCAGGAAAGAUCGUGGUGGAAUAAUUGGGUGUUUAGACCUGGGUUUGUAACUGUGCUCUGUACUGACCACCAGGGACCCAGGCAGGCACUUCACCUUCCCAGGGUAGACCUGUGGGGGGCUUCGUCAGCCCUGGGCAGGGUCUCAUUCUCCAGGUGUGCCUGUCCUCAGGGAGGGACUUCCCUUGUCUGCUUUGUCAUUUUCAUUUGCCUAUGCUGUGUCUGUUUACCAGAUUGUUCCCAGGACAGACUGAAAGGGGCAGUGCCUACCGUGUGUCCCCACAUCUACCUGGUUUCAAAUUCUAAUGCUGGAGAGACCAGCAUGACUGUCCAAGGCCGGUUCCCAGAUGCUGACCACGAGGCUUGGGUCCAUGGGGAAGUGACCAUUGGCUAAGGCUGAUGAGAAGAAUUUGGAAGCUGAGAUAUUUCACUUCAAUUCCACAACUGCUACCUCCCAUCUAAGGGAGAGGGUGUGGAGGUUUGAGGAGUGAAUUGGCUUGCCCAAGGAAAGGACCCUUGUCCCUUCAGGAGCAGGUAGGAAGCAGGUGUGUCCUCCUGGUCUGACAUGGAGUGGGAUGGGAGCUGGCUGACCCCAGGGGCUGGUUCUGGGGCCACCGCUGCUUGGGGGCCGAACCACCAGACCACUGGGGCCUCCAGCUGAAUAUUCAAGGCAGGUCCAAGAGCCAGGCCCUGCAUGUGACCCACUGGCCUCUCCAUGGGGCCAGCUGCCUGUCUAGCCCGUGGAUGUUGUCUGCACUGUGCAGAUGCUAAAAACUCCGGGGUGUCUCCCCGCGUCCAUCUCCUGUUGCUGGCUCUUAUGGUGUCCAGGCUGGCAGGCCUGUUGCUGGGCAGAGGCCGGGCAGAGUACAACCAGCUCUCAUUAAAGACAUCUCAUAAGUUGAUGGAAACCCAUCCAGCACAAAGGGGCAUUUAUUGGGCUGGAUGGUGUGUCUCUGUCUGAAUGCAGGGAGGAGAGAAAUAGCCUUUCACAGAGUGCCAGCAGGGCUGGGCUGUCCUGCUCUGAGGGUGUCAGUUUUCCAGCUCUUUCUCCAAGCUGUGCAACCUGUCCCUUUUUAUGUGAGUUACUCACCCUGUCCUGGGCAGGGGACUCGCUGAUCCCUCUCCUGCUAAAACUGUUAGAGAGAGAGGGAAAAAGGGGGAGAGGGAGCAAGAGAGGAGAGAGAGACUGGAAACGUGAAAAUACAGGUUGAGUUUCCGUAGGGAUGCUUUGCCUCAAUGGUUCUCCAUGAUGGGAGUGACGUGCAUUUAUGUCUUACCUGAAACCCUCUCAGUAAGAUGAAAUCAGACGGUGUCGUGCCCCAGGAAGUGACUGUUGUGUUUUUGAAAACGGCUGUCAUUCCCAACUUGCACAGCUUUGCUUGUGCUACUCCUUCUGCCUGUAACGUUCCUCCAAAAAUGCACAAUUAAGCAACAAUUAAGUCUUAUUUGACACCUGUACAUAAUUUAAAAAAAUGUAAUGUGCUAAAGCCAAUGCUAGUAAUGUUCUGGAGAGGUUAAGAAGUAGCUCAGUUACUAGUAAUAGAGGUCUAAAAUUCAAAGACUUAACUAAUACUGGAUUUAUUUUACUCGCACCUUGAAACAAGCCUGGAGACAGGAAAUCUAAGGCUGGCAUGGCUCCUCCACAGUAUUAUUAUUAUUUUUUUUUCUGCUGUAAUGUGCUUAUUAUGUGCCCCCCAAAAAACUACACCAUAGCUUACUCCAGACAUCUGUAGGAGAGUUCAGUCUUGCCUGCAUAUAAUACAAUGAGAUAGAGACUUCACACAGUUUCACAAAACCCACAGAGUAGCUGGGAUAUGCAACAGUGCAGUGUCAGCUCAGCAGGAGGGAGUCGGGGGGAUCUUUCUUUUCUGCCUUGCAUAGUGUGGAGCUUCCAUCCUCAAAAUAGCCUCAUGGCCCAAGAUGGCUGCUGGAGAUCCAACCAUCACAAUAAAAAGCAGGCAUGGGGGCAAAAAGGGCUCAUUUCCAGUUAUCCCCUCUUAAGGAGCUUUCCAGAUGACUCACUCAGUAAUUCUGCUUACGUCUCAUUAGCUACCCAUAGAUACAGGGUGGGAUGGGCAAAUUGCCCCCCACACUCUAGAAUCAAAUCAGGUCUUAUUUCCUGAGGGACAUGCAGUGGGUGAUCUGUGGUGUCUUCUGCAGGCCGGCACACCUGUAAGUACAGCUGGUGGAGAGGUACAUUGGCUGAUUUCUUCUGGAAGGCAAACUUUUAAAUACAUAUCAAGAGGGAGUAAAAUAUUCAUCCCGUCCCGUGUGUCUCAAGUCUGUGAUUUUAUCUUUGGGAAGCAAAGGGAAAAACACAAUGCAUGUGCACGAAUAUAUUCAUGGUCACACAUUCACUAAACGACAAUUCUGAAAUACCUCCUUGGAGAUAUUGCAGCUUUGGUUCCAGACCACUGCAAUAAAAUGAACAUCUCAAUGAGUGAGUCACACAAAUGUUUUGGUUUCCCAGAGCAAAUUCAAGCUAUGUUUAUACUAUACUGUAGUCUAUUAAGUGUGCAAUAGCAUUAUGUCUAAAAAAACAAUGUGCAUACGUUAAUUUUAAAACACUUUAUUGCUAAAAAAUGCGAAUUAUCAUCUGAUGCAGGGUUGCCACAAACCUUCAAUUUGUGAAAAAUGCAGUAUCUACAAAGUGCAAUAAAGCAAAGCACUGUAAAAACAAGUUAUGCCUGUAACCUAAAUUUCCAGCAGGUAAAACACAUGAGAAUGCUGUUAUAUUCACUUGGUGGGAUAUUCUGUCAUCACUGUAAAUGUUACUCAUGAAGGACAUAUAGUAACAAAAAGAGUGUUUACAAUGUAACUUCAGAGAAAAGACAGGAUAUCAAAAUGUGCAUUGUGAUUAUCACUGGUUACCGUGCAUUUGCAGGAGGCAGGGAACAGAGAGACAGGGUGGCCUUAAGGGUAAGGUUUUCUUUUUAAACUUCCCCAAACCUUGUUUUACACAUACACACACAUGCACACAUUCUUUAUAUAAAAUAAUAAAAACAUUUAAAUAAACAAUAAAAAUUUA